UAAUGCAUAGGAAUCUACCUUGUAGAGAGGGAUAAGCAUUAGAAAUGAUGUCUAAUACCUCAUAACAUCAGUAUAGAAAUAUAUUGAGAAAGGAUUAGUAGCAAUAUUAAUUCACUAUAAGAUGAGCUUAUGUCGGAUUAGUUAGUUGGUAGGGUAAAGGCCUACCAAGACGAUGAUCCGUAGUUGAUCUGAGGAGGGUGAUCCAACCACACUGGAACUGCGACACGGUCCAGACUCCGUACGGGAGGCAGCGAGGGUGGGAAUUAUUGGAACAAUGGAACGAAAGUCUGAUCCAGCAAUACCGCGUGAAUGAUUAAGGCCUUCGGGUUGUAAAAUUCUUUAGAUAGGGAAGAUAAUGACGGUACCUAUAGAAUAAGCACCGGCUAACUUCGUGCCAGCCGCUGC
rnacentral:rRNA from 1 species